CCGCGCGGGCUCAGCAUGGCGGCGCCGGCCGGCAGGAGCGUGGUGUUCGUCACCGGCAACGCCAAGAAGCUGGAGGAGGUCGUGCAGAUCCUCGGCGACACGUUUCCGCACAAGCUGGUUGCUAAGAAAAUUGACCUGCCGGAGUACCAGGGGGAGCCGGACGAGAUCUCCGUGCAGAAGUGCCGCGAGGCUGCGCGCCAGGUCCGGGGACCCGUCCUGGUGGAGGAUACCUGCCUGUGCUUCAACGCCCUGGGCGGCCUUCCGGGGCCCUACAUAAAAUGGUUUCUGGAAAAACUCAAACCAGAAGGUCUGUACAAACUGCUAGCUGGUUUUGAAGACAAAUCUGCUUAUGCUCUUUGUACCUUUGCAUUCAGUCCUGGAAACCCAGAGGAGCCGGUGAAGCUGUUCAAAGGCCAAACGAAUGGACUGAUAGUUGAGCCCAGAGGCCCUAGAGACUUUGGCUGGGAUCCUUGCUUUCAGCCUGAUGGCUAUGACCAGACGCACUGCUCUGCUCGGAGCCUUCAGGAGCUGGGAGCAGGCAGAGCAGGCCCGGCAGCCAGGCUAGCGUGCCCCUCCGGAAACAACGGGGGCUCUGUGGAGCAGAGGUGCAUGUUCCCCUCCUUGAGUGGCCUGUGAGGGGGUUGUUUGGCCAGCAGGGCAGAGCUGCUUCGCCUGGCUGCAGGACAGUGCUCAAGCUCAGCUGGAAGACUGCUGUGCACGCACGAGCUUGUUUUCCUGUAGCUGAGGUGUGCGUGGUUUUUUUCUUACUGAGAGCUCUCCUGUGAUUAAUUUGCUACGCUGAACUGCCCAAGGCAGUGAAGAACUCGAUCUCCCACCGGUACAGGGCGCUGAGCGAGCUCUCCGCCUUCUUCCUCCGGAGCCG